GACGAAGGAUGCAGGCGUUAUCCGGAUUCAUUGGGUUUAAAGGGUGCGUAGGCGGGCAGGUAAGUCAGUGGUGAAAUCUCCGGGCUUAACCCGGAAACUGCCAUUGAUACUAUUUGUCUUGAAUACUGUGGAGGUCAGCGGAAUAUGUCAUGUAGCGGUGAAAUGCUUAGAUAUGACAUAGAACACCAAUUGCGAAGGCAGCUGGCUACACAAAUAUUGACACUGAGGCACGAAAGCGUGGGGAUCAAACAGG
rnacentral:rRNA from 1 species